rnacentral:misc_RNA from 1 species
CCCCAAACUUGGCCUUCUCCUUGGUCUUGGAAAUAUGCGCAGCCACCCAGAGCUAUUUAUUGUCCUGCGAAUUCUGUUUCAUUUCUUUUACAGCUGGCUCUCUGUUCAAGAAUCCAAGUAACCGGUGACUGGCCGACGUGUUUCCGAAAUGGUGGAUUCCGGCGAUUCUCAGAUGAAGUUAGCAAAUGGCGAUUCUGGUUAUGUGCUUGAAGAUGUGCCUCACUUGACUGAUUAUAUUCCUGAUCUCCCUACUUAUACAAAUCCAUUACAAGACAAUCCCUCCUAUUCAGCAGUCAAGCAGUACUUUGUUAAUAUGGAUGACACUGUUUCUCAAAAGAUUGUUGUUCACAAGAAUGGACCGAGAGGGACACACUUUCGGCGUGCUGGACCUCGCCAGAAGGUAACUUACUUUUAUGGUGUCUGAAUAUGUUCAAUUGAUUAUGUAAACCAUUUGUUAAGGGCAUUAUGAACAGUAUACUGCUUACCUUCUUGCUGGUUUGUGUUUGAUGUGCUGCUCAGGUGUACUUCAAGUCUGAUGAAGUGUACGCAUGUAUUGUAACAUGCGGUGGUCUGUGUCCUGGGCUUAACACAGUGAUCAGGGAGAUUGUUUGUGGCCUUUAUCAUAUGUACGGUGUUAGCAAAGUUCUUGGGAUUGAUGGAGGCUACAGGGGUUUCUAUUCCAAAAAUACAAUUUCUAUGACUCCUAAAUUUGUCAAUGACAUUCAUAAACGCGGUGGUACUAUCUUGGGGACAUCACGAGGUGGCCAUGAUACAUCAAAGAUAGUUGACAGCAUUCAGGAUCGUGGGAUUAAUCAGGUGUACAUAAUUGGAGGUGAUGGAACCCAGAAAGGAGCAGCAGUCAUUUAUGAGGAAAUCCAACGACGUGGCCUAAAAGUUGCUGUUGCUGGAAUUCCAAAAACCAUUGAUAAUGACAUUCCAGUUAUUGACAAGUCCUUUGGUUUUGACACUGCGGUUGAGGAGGCUCAACGUGCAAUUAAUGCAGCACAUGUUGAGGCUGAAAGUACGGAGAAUGGUAUUGGUGUUGUGAAGCUAAUGGGCCGAUAUAGUGGAUUCAUUGCAAUGUAUGCUACUCUUGCUAGCCGGGAUGUGGAUUGUUGUUUGAUUCCAGAGUCACCCUUCUAUCUUGAAGGAAAAGGUGGCCUUUUUGAAUUCAUUAAAAAAAGGCUUAAGGAGAAUGGGCACAUGGUUAUCGUUAUAGCCGAGGGAGCAGGACAGGAUCUUCUUUCAAAGAGCCUGCAAUCCAUGGACCAGCAAGAUGCUUCAGGAAAUAAGCUGCUCCAAGAUGUUGGGUUAUGGAUAUCACACAGGAUCAAGGACCAUUUUGCAAAAGAGAAUAAGAUGAACAUCACUCUUAAAUAUAUUGAUCCUACAUACAUGAUCCGAGCAAUUCCUGCCAAUGCAUCUGAUAAUGUCUACUGCACUCUUCUUGCUCAUAGUGCAAUCCAUGGAGCAAUGGCUGGAUAUACUGGCUUCACCGUUGGACCUGUAAAUGGUCGACAUGCUUACAUUCCUUUCAAUCGAGUCACUGAGAAGCAGAACAAAGUAGUCAUUACUGACAGGAUGUGGGCAAGGCUCUUAUCUUCAACUGACCAGCCAAGUUUCAUGAGCCCCAAAGUUGUAAAUAAAGCCAAGAAGCGGGAAGAACCUGCUACCUUGUUGAAUGGAAAUAUUUGAAAGCCACGCAAGAAUAAUUAGAUAUUAAAGACAUUACUACGUAUAAGAAGCUCUGUUUGUUAUUCAUGUUCAAUGCCUUGUGUUUCUAAUCAGUGGUUGCUUUCCAAGUGGCUUACUUUUUUGUCAUAAUCAGAAGCUGGCUUCUU